rnacentral:lncRNA from 1 species
GAAAGGUUUGCAAACAAGUUAGACCAUAACAUAAUUUUAUAUGCAAAAAUUUCCUAAAUAUUAGGUUAUUUUAAAAUGUUAUAAAGAAAAUGGAUCUCAAUGAUAUUAUCCCUCUAUCAUCUUCACCGUCGUGACUUCCUCAGCCAGCAGCACAAUAUCGAAAUGGAAAAACUGAAAAAAAUACAGUAACAUAUGCAUAUUCAAACAAAACUAAUAAAACUAAAUAUUAUCAAAUAACUUAAUACAAUAAUAAUAGAUAAGGCAAGGAUGAAAUUAGAAAUGAUUACAGAGUUAUUUAAAAAAAAAAAAGACCCAUUUCAAAAAAAAAGAAAAGAAAAAGAAAACAAAGCAACUUACCUGGCUAGCUAGCUGGCUAGCGAUAGAGCAAUGGACGGAAUGGCAGCGGCAGGUGGGCAGCAAGGAUAAGGCAGUACCAGCCACCGGUAGAUGAGACUUAGGGUUUGGGUCUGUGGCUUUGUGCAAG